UGUCUCUGUGAGGCCACAGAAGUGGGUGAAGAUGGCGGAGUGAGGAAGUGUAGGUUCAGAGGCCCACUGGGCCCGGGGCAGAGAGGCUCCGUUAACGGCUCUCAGUGACUGGGACGUGUCGACGGAGAUAAUCUAUUGACAAAUUCGCUCAGUUUAAUUUAUUUCAAUAAACCGUUUUAUGGAAUGCCUGCCUGGCUGCUCCGCCAUAUGUGUCAUGUGGGGUCACCCAGAACUACCUUCAGUGAGUAAAAGAGCAAGAUAAGUGUCUCCUGUGAUGAUAGCAGAUCUGCAUCUUUCUGGCCCUGAUGCUGAUUGAUCCUGCAGAUGUUUGCUGCAGUGUUUUGAAGGUCAGGAGAAGAUCAGAUGACUUUGGAACCAACAUAUAAAUGGUUUUUUUUAUUGAUGAAGCUAAAGUAAGAUGUGCUUUGCUUACCUCAUGUCUCAAAAUUGUGAAAUCGGCAUCUUCAUUGUGAAGGACGUAAUUUUUCUCUUUCAUAUAGAGGAGCACCCACUAAAACUGUCGAGUCCAAGUGGAAUAGUACAACUGUGUUUGCUAUUAAAAAAAAACAAAAAAAAAAA